GAAGGUUACUUUAAAUAUGUACCAACAUUAGCUCCACGACGGCGAUAAAAUAACCGCCGUUGUCCUCCGAAUCAAGCAAACUCCGAUCCCUCCGAUCCCUCACCGUGGCUCCGGAUAUUUUACGGCGGUUGUUCCCGGCUCGGACUCGAAGAGCUGUCCCGAUUCUCCCUUUGACCAGGCUGGAGAUGAACCUUUUCCGGUUCUGCUCCGGUCUGAAAGUCCUCGGCUAUUUCAUGAUCCUUCUCGUUGUCGCCGUCGUUGGUGUAUCUUACUACGCCGUCGUAGUUAGCACAUGGUGGCCGAUCUUGAUCCGGAGCGACCAUGGAGCUUUAUCUGCCCUCGCUGCCUUAAUCAUCUUUGUUUUUCAUUUCCUGCUGAUAAUGUUGUUGUGGAGCUACUUCACAACUGUUUUUACGGACCCAGGUUCUGUUCCCGAAUAUUUCAGAAGAGAAAUGGGAGGUGGUGACAAUUUGGAGGCUGGUACUUCGACAGAUCAAGGAGCUUUUGGCUCUUUAGGUUAUUGUACCAAAUGCCGGAAUGUUAAGCCGCCUCGUUGCCAUCAUUGUUCUGUGUGUCAAAGAUGUGUUCUCAAGAUGGAUCAUCACUGUGUAUGGAUUGUAAACUGUGUUGGAGCACGCAAUUACAAGUUUUUCCUUCUCUUUCUGUUCUAUACUUUUCUUGAGACAAUGUUGGACGUUAUAGUCCUGCUUCCUAGCUUCAUUGAAUUCUUUAGCCAAGCUAUAAAGCAUUCUUCUUCUCCGGGUAAACUGGCCUCCCUCGUUCUGGCAUUUGAUUCUAUCCCCUUGAUGCAGUUCUUAACUUAGCGUUCGUUCUCAGCCUUCUUUGUUUCGUAGUCAUGCACCUUUCUCUUCUCUCAUCCAACACUACUUCAGUCGAGAUGCAUGAGAAAAAUGGAGAAGUCAGAUGGAAAUAUGACUUGGGAAAGAAGAAAAACUUCGAGGAGGUUUUUGGGAAGAAGAAGGCGUUUUGGCUCCUCCCAUUGUACUCUAAAGAAGAUCUCGAUAACAUGACUUCCCUUCAAGGCCUUGAAUUUCCAACUCGUUCUGACAUCGACCCUUGAUUGAAACAGAAUCAAUCAAUCAUUGUCGAAAAAGUCUUCGGACUACCCUCCAGUGUGUAGAUAACACUCUUCUCGAAGAGAAUUCUGAUAACACGUUGUUGUUGUAUUAAUGUAAUUGAUUUGAUUCAUUUCUUUACUUGUUUAAAGUCUAAGUUCGUUUGACAUCUUCAGACUGUAAUGUUAUGCGACCCAAUGAUAACUUGUUGUAUACGUAAA